CAAUAGCGUAUAUUAAAGUUGUUGCAGUUAAAAAGCUCGUAGUUGGAUUUCUGGUGGGAGCACGGGUCGGCCCUCACGGGUUGUACUGUUGUUGCGUCCCGCCGUUUCGGAGGGAAUGGUCUCGCUAUUAGGUUAGUGGGGUCGGGAACUCUGUCGUUUACUGUGAAAAAAUUAGAGUGUUCAAAGCAGGCCUUCGCUGUGAAUACAUUAGCAUGGAAUAAUAAGAUAGGACUAUGGUGCUAUUUUGUUGGUUUGCGUACUAUGGUAAUGAUUAAUAGGGAUAGUUGGGGGUAUUCAUAUUCAAUUGUCAGAGGUGAAAUUCUUGGAUUUAUGGAAGAUGAACUACUGCGAAAGCAUUUACCAAGGAUGUUUUCAUUAA
rnacentral:rRNA from 1 species